rnacentral:tRNA from 1 species
GGUUUCAUAGUGUAGCGGUUAGCACGUCUGCUUUACACACAGAAGGUCCUGGGUUCGCGCCCCCGUAGAGCCA